GUAGGUGGCAAGCGUUGUCCGGAAUUAUUGGGCGUAAAGCGCGCGCAGGUGGUUCUUUAAGUCUGAUGUGAAAGCCCCCGGCUCAACCGGGGAGGGUCAUUGGAAACUGGAGAACUUGAGUGCAGGAGAGGAAAGUGGAAUUCCACGUGUAGCGGUGAAAUGCGUAGAUAUGUGGAGGAACACCAGUGGCGAAGGCGACUUUCUGGCCUGUAACUGACACUGAGGCGCGAAAGCGUGGGGAGCAAACAGGGAUUAGAUACCCUGGUAGUCCACGCCGUAAACGAUGAGUGCUAAGUGUUGGGGGGGUUUCCGCCCCCUCAGUGCUGCAGCUAACGCAUCAAGCACUCCGCCUGGGAGUACGGUCGCAAGACUG
rnacentral:rRNA from 1 species